GACGAACGCUGGCGGCGUGGAUUAGGCAUGCAAGUCGAACGGUAUCAUCCUUUCGGGGGUGAGAGAGUGGCGAACUGGUGAGUAACACGUAGGUUAUCUACCCUCAAGACGGGGACAACCCAGGGAAACUUGGGCUAAUACCGGAUGUGAGCAACUUUUAGUUGUUUGAAAGGUGGCGUAAGCUGUCGCUUGGGGAUGAGCCUGCGUCCUAUUAGUUAGUUGGUGAGGUAACGGCUCACCUAGGCAAUGAUAGGUAGGCGGCCUUAACGGGUGGUCGCCCACACUGGGAUUGAGAUACGGCCCAGACUCCUACGGGAGGCAGCAGUCGAGAAUAGUCUACAAUGGACGGAAGUCUGAUAGUGCGACGCCGCGUGAACGAAGAAUCCCUUCGGGGUGUAAAGUUCUUUUAUACGUGAGCAGUGCCCUUUAUAUGAAUAGUAUAGAGGGAGGGAUUUAAGCGUAUGAAUAAGCAACGGCUAACUCCGUGCCAGCAGCCCGGUAAACAUACUCGUA
rnacentral:rRNA from 1 species